GACGAACGCUGGCGGCGUGCUUAACACAUGCAAGUCGAACGGAAAGGCCCUGCUUUUGUGGGGUGCUCGAGUGGCGAACGGGUGAGUAACACGUGAGUAACCUGCCCUUGACUUUGGGAUAACUUCAGGAAACUGGGGCUAAUACCGGAUAGGAGCUCCUGCUGCAUGGUGGGGGUUGGAAAGUUUCGGCGGUUGGGGAUGGACUCGCGGCUUAUCAGCUUGUUGGUGGGGUAGUGGCUUACCAAGGCUUUGACGGGUAGCCGGCCUGAGAGGGUGACCGGGCACAUUGGGACUGCGGUACGGCCCAGACUCCUACGGGAGGCAGCAGUGGGGAAUAUUGCACAAUGGGCGGAAGCCAGAUGCAGCAACGCCGCGUGCGGGAUGACGGCCUUCGGGUUGUAAACCGCUUUCGCCUGUGACGAAGCGUGAGUGACGGUAAUGGGUAAAGAAGCACCGGCUAACUACGUG
rnacentral:rRNA from 1 species